CUUCCUUACUAGAAAAUAUAAGAUAAGUGGGUCUAUUGGUACAUGGGCACAUCCCGCUGGUUUCACGCAAAGGAUGUUAAUUCACCUCUCCUCUGCUUUUGGCCCAAAAUGCCUGUUCCUGCCAAGUGUGCUGUGGGAACGUGUGUUAAAUGUUACUGUCACUUUUAGUAUAUGAAAGAUGAUAAAUACUGUGGAGACAAGCUGUGAAGAAUGAAGACAAGAAGCUGAUGUUUGGUGUGAAUGAAGAGGGGGCAGGCUGUGAAAAGUGAAAUCACAUGCUCGGAGCAAAAGGCUAGGAAACUUUUCUUCACCAUAAUGUUAUGAAUGGAAAUAGGUAGCAAUGUUAUAUUUGACAAAUUUGUAGAAGAUGAUGUUAGUUGAGACGGGAGAUGGUGAGAGCCUGGAGGAGUGUUUUAGGUUAUGAAUGAGAAUAAAAGUGUAAAAUGUAUAACCGUAAAGUAGAAAGAUGGAGUAAGAAUCAAUUCGGAAUUCAGCUGAAGGCUGUGCCAAGGCCAUGGACCUGAGGAGCUGCAGAAGAGGCAAGAUAGUGGUAUUUCCAUAGUGACAGAAAAAGAGGAACUUCACAGAAGCAAAGAAGAGCCCUACUAUGACUGUGCCACUCUUAAGCAGAUGGCUGAAACAUGGAGCAGUUUUUGUUGGUAUAGAACCAGACAGUGAUCUGUCUUUUCCUGCUGAGUGUUGGGUGAUACAGACCUACAUGUCUAGACCCAGGAGAGCUCACCCACAAGGCUUAGUCCAGUUGCCUGUUGCAGGACAUCAACUUUACGAUGGAUCAAAGCCCUCAAUAUAGAACAAAUAUUUGGUGCCUUCUAAGCUCCACCAAACUGUGGCGAGAUACAGUAGCAAGAAGCCUGCCCCUACUGUCUAAGGAAUUAAAAUUGUACUGCAUGAAAACUAAUACUUACAAAAUAGGAAUUUAUGAAUUUUAGUAUAAAAAUUAUUUAUCUGGAUCAAACCUUUCUUGCAGCUAAAAGAUGGAAUUGUUGCUUUACUUUAAAUGUGUAAUUGCUUAUUUCUAAUUUUUACUGAUGAUUGUUUAUGAAGCAUGUAGGAGUGGGAGAACCUGAGCUUACACAUCCCUCAGUCUGUUGUAGAGCAGUUUGAAGAGGGCUGCAGGCAGCAUCACUGCACCUGAAACUCAUACAACCAAGCUUCAUGGAUGAUCAUUGCAGAGACCUUUACUUCUCAUGGUUCUUGUAUGAGAUAGAGGGCCAGAGAUACCAUUACAGAGCUGUGAGCCUGAGGUUUAUUGUGCUCAUAAAGUAAUGUGAUUGAUAAAUUAUUCUGUCGAUUUUUGAUAUCAUGUUUUUGUAUUAUGAUGCCUCCAAUAAAAAAAGCAGUAUUACAGUCUUGAGAGUUACA
rnacentral:lncRNA from 1 species